rnacentral:rRNA from 1 species
GAUGAACGCUGGCGGCGUGCCUAAUACAUGCAAGUCGAGCGAACGGACGAGAAGCUUGCUUCUCUGAUGUUAGCGGCGGACGGGUGAGUAACACGUGGAUAACCUACCUAUAAGACUGGGAUAACUUCGGGAAACCGGAGCUAAUACCGGAUAAUAUUUUGAACCGCAUGGUUCAAAAGUGAAAGACGGUCUUGCUGUCACUUAUAGAUGGAUCCGCGCUGCAUUAGCUAGUUGGUAAGGUAACGGCUUACCAAGGCAACGAUGCAUAGCCGACCUGAGAGGGUGAUCGGCCACACUGGAACUGAGACACGGUCCAGACUCCUACGGGAGGCAGCAGUAGGGAAUCUUCCGCAAUGGGCGAAAGCCUGACGGAGCAACGCCGCGUGAGUGAUGAAGGUCUUCGGAUCGUAAAACUCUGUUAUUAGGGAAGAACAUAUGUGUAAGUAACUGUGCACAUCUUGACGGUACCUAAUCAGAAAGCCACGGCUAACUACGUGCCAGCAGCCGCGGUAAUACGUAGGUGGCAAGCGUUAUCCGGAAUUAUUGGGCGUAAAGCGCGCGUAGGCGGUUUUUUAAGUCUGAUGUGAAAGCCCACGGCUCAACCGUGGAGGGUCAUUGGAAACUGGAAAACUUGAGUGCAGAAGAGGAAAGCGGAAUUCCAUGUGUAGCGGUGAAAUGCGCAGAGAUAUGGAGGAACACCAGUGGCGAAGGCGACUUUCUGGUCUGUAACUGACGCUGAUGUGCGAAAGCGUGGGGAUCAAACAGGAUUAGAUACCCUGGUAGUCCACGCCGUAAACGAUGAGUGCUAAGUGUUAGGGGGUUUCCGCCCCUUAGUGCUGCAGCUAACGCAUUAAGCACUCCGCCUGGGGAGUACGACCGCGAGGUUGAAACUCAAAGGAAUUGACGGGGACCCGCACAAGCGGUGGAGCAUGUGGUUUAAUUCGAAGCAACGCGAAGAACCUUACCAAAUCUUGACAUCCUUUGACAACUCUAGAGAUAGAGCUUUCCCCUUCGGGGGACAAAGUGACAGGUGGUGCAUGGUUGUCGUCAGCUCGUGUCGUGAGAUGUUGGGUUAAGUCCCGCAACGAGCGCAACCCUUAAGCUUAGUUGCCAUCAUUAAGUUGGGCACUCUAAGUUGACUGCCGGUGACAAACCGGAGGAAGGUGGGGAUGACGUCAAAUCAUCAUGCCCCUUAUGAUUUGGGCUACACACGUGCUACAAUGGACAAUACAAAGGGCAGCGAAACCGUGAGGUCAAGCAAAUCCCAUAAAGUUGUUCUCAGUUCGGAUUGUAGUCUGCAACUCGACUACAUGAAGCUGGAAUCGCUAGUAAUCGUAGAUCAGCAUGCUACGGUGAAUACGUUCCCGGGUCU